UACGUAGGCAGCAAGCGUUGUUCGGAAUUACUGGGCGUAAAGAGUGUGUAGGCGGUGCUCUAAGUCUGUUGUGAAAUCUCCCGGCUUAACCGGGAGGGUGCGGCGGAAACUGGAGUGCUUGAGGGUGGGAGAGGUAAGCGGAAUUCCUGGUGUAGCGGUGAAAUGCGUAGAUAUUCGCAAGAACACCAGUGGCGAAGGCGGCCAACUGGUCCGGUUCUGACGCUGAGGCGCGAAAGCGUGGGGAGCAAACAGG
rnacentral:rRNA from 1 species